rnacentral:lncRNA from 10 species
AUGAGCUCUUCCAGCUGAUAUAAUAAAUGUGUAUCAUGGUGUCUGACUAUAGACUUGGUCAUCACAAAAAUACACAGACAUGUAUAGAUAUGUUUUUAUAACACAUACCCCCUUCUAUGUGUAAUAUGUGUAGGUGAUCAUAAUGGAUACAGACAUAUCUUCAUACAAAUACAUUGAAGCAUAUUGAGAUAAAUGGGUAGCAGAACACUGAGGAGAAGAGACACAAGAUAUCUUGUCCAAGAUAAAAACUUAAACCAUGGGCUGCCUGGAGGAAGGAAGUCAAGUAUCUUCUCACUCGAUCCAAAUUUGUGCUCACAGAGUGAGUUAUUACAGGGUUUCCCACAUUUUAUAGGACAUUUUAGGAUAAAGGCAGCAGUGAAGCAUGAGUUUCUGUGCCUUUUUGUGAGUAUACUCAUACCUAAGCUUCAGUUUCUCUGUCAAUUUUUCUAAAUUGUGGUAAACUACAUAUAAAAUUGACCAUUUAACCAUCUUUAAGAGUACACUUGAGUGGCAUUAAGUACAUUCACACUAUUAUGCAACCAUCACCACUGUCUGUCUUCAGAACUUUUCAUAUUCCCAAACUGAAACAAUGGCCCCAUUAAACACUACCUGCCCAUUCUCUCUCUCCCAGCCCCUGGUGCCCAUCAUUCUUUCUGUCUCUAUGAAUCUGACUACUCCAGGGACCUCAGCUAAGUGGAAUCAGACAGUAUCCGUCCUCUUACGACUGGGUUCUUUCACUUAGUAGAAUGUUCCCAAGCUUCAUCCAUGUUGUAGCAUGUGUCAGAAUGUCUUUCCUUUCUAAGGCUGAAAGUAUUCCAUGUUUUUGUACAGACCACAUUGCUUUCUGCAUCCAUCCAUCAAUGGACACUGAAUCAUCUCAUCUUCUGGCAAUUGUGAAUGUGCAGAACAGGAUGGCUUCGGACAGGCUCAGCUGGUCCUGGAUCUCCUGCUGGCCCCGGCACUUGACAAUCAUGUAACCCUUCUUCAGGUGGAACACGAGGUUCCGCACCACGUCCACAACCUUGUCUUCAGUUCCUUUGUCCACCAGAUCAGGCUUCGUCAAGAUUCCUGCGAGCCAGAUGUAUUUGGGGAGAGAACGUGCUCAGUCACGAGGCAGAGGUGAACGAACAACUGCUCACGCCCCCGGCCUCCCAGGGUUUCCUCCCAUCCUUGCUUGAGGACAGGCCAUAGCCCCUGCAGAACCAUGGGGGCAGUGGAGCCCCGCUCCAGAAAAGAACUCCACGACAAGCCGCGUGAAGGCAGGGAUGCCUCCCAGAACAGCAUGUGGCUCUCCCCAAGCUCCUUCACCCGGGUCCACUGUAGAACACGCCACGUUUUGUUUAUCCCUUGAGUUAUGGACAUCCCAUCUCAAAUGCAUUCUUAAUGAGUACCAUGUGCCUCCUGAGUUUGACCUGCUUCCGAGCCCACUGUGCCUUUCUGAGCAAGUAGAUAAGGCUUACAAGGCAACCUAGCCAGUGAGAGUCAAAAGCAGCUCAUUUCACUUGGCCUUGGUGGGCACCAAACCUGCUCCCUUAGCAGGUCUUAGUGGAGGCAGGUCCCCACUGAGCAAAGCCCAUGGAGACUGGAGGGACGCUUGCCCACUGGCAGACCACCGAGCACAGGCGGGCUCCCCCAUUCUCACCGAGCACAGGCGGGCUCCCCC